GGGAGCUUAGUUAAGUGGCAUAACUGCGGUCUCCAAAACCGCUGUCAGGGGUUCGAUUCCUCUAGCUCCCGCCA
rnacentral:tRNA from 1 species